GACGAACGCUGGCGGCGUGCUUAACACAUGCAAGUCGAACGAAGUGGCGAACGGGUGAGUAACGCGUAAUCAACCUGCCCUUCAGAGGGGGACAACAGUUGGAACCGACUGCUAAUCACGCAUAAUGAAGGAGUGGAUUGCGUCUGAAUAGCUCGUUUGGUGGGUAACGGCCCAACAAGGCGAUGAUCAGUAGCCGGUCUGAGAGGAUGAACGGCCACAUUGGGACGGAGUCACGGCCCAGAGUCCUACGGGAGGCAGCAGUGGGGAAUCUUCCGCAAUGGACGAAAGUCUGACGGAGCAACGCCGCGUGGGUGAUGACGGCCUUCGGGUUGUAAAGCUCUGUUAAGCGGGACGCGGUACCGGAAUAGAAAGCCACGGCUAACUACGUGCCAGCAGCCGCGGUAAUAC
rnacentral:rRNA from 1 species